UACGAAGGGGGGCUAGCGUUGCUCGGAAUCACUGGGCGUAAAGGGUGCGUAGGUGGCCUAUUAAGUCAGGGGUGAAAGACGGUAGCUUAACUAUCGCAGUGCCUUUGAUACUGAUGGGCUUGAAUACAGUUGAAGUGGGCGGAAUGUGACAAGUAGCGGUGAAUGCAUAGAUAUGUCACAGAACACCGAUUGCGAAGGCAGCUACACUAAAGUGUGAUUGACACUGAGGCACGAAAGCGUGGGGAUCAAACAGG
rnacentral:rRNA from 1 species